rnacentral:misc_RNA from 1 species
GAUGAAGAACGUAGCGAAAUGCGAUAAGUAAUGUGAAUUGCAGAAUUCAGUGAAUCAUCGAAUCUUUGAACGCAUCUUGCGCUCCUUGGUAUUCUGAGGAGCAUGCCUGUUUGAGUGUCAUUAAAUUCUCAACUACACUGACUUUGAAUUGGUGUGGCUUGGAUUUGGGGGGAAAAUUGUUGUGGGCUUUUUGUAUAGUCUGCUCCCCUGAAAUUGAUUAGCGGUACCUUUGUGGAACUGUCUACAGGUGUGAUAAUUAUCUACAUCUUAGACAUCUGCUGGAGUGCUGCUUUCUAAACCUUACUUGUAUUGACAAUCUUGACCUCAAAUCAGGUAGGACUACCCGCUGAACUUAAGCAUAUCAAUAAGCGGAGGA